rnacentral:tRNA from 1 species
GUGGCAUUAGCUCAGUGGAUAGAGCAGCGGCCUUCUAAGCCGUAGGUCACAGGUUCGAAUCCUGUAUGCCUCA